rnacentral:lncRNA from 1 species
AAUUAAUUCAUAUGAACUCAAUCAAUAUCAAGUCAUGAUAUACUAUUAGAAAUCAAGCAAAUAUUUUUACAAUUCAAUACACAAGUCAUUUAACCAAUUUAAAUAUGUCCGAUGAACGAUAUAACAUAUAUGGAUACACAGUUAUCCACCGAAACACACCAAAAUGCUCCAAUGAGCCAAACCAACCGAGAACACGCCUUGGCACUAAGAGCCUAGCCUGUAGGCUAACAUCCCUCCAGAACACACCUCAGCACCAAGUUUCAAGCCCAAAGGCUUU